UUUCAAACCUGUCAUUAUGUGGCCUUGUGGCCUUGGUUACCAUUCUAGAAUGUUCUUUGUCUUUUGGGGGCAAAGCUUAAGAGAAACAUUUAAGGAAACACCCACUUGGAAGGAAGAACCAAGAGUUGACUCCAUUCCAAGAAAUCACAUCAUUCAUCUGAUCCGGGCUAUAUCUCUCCCAGCAAGAUAUGUAUGAAGAACGGAAAAGAAAUGAUUAGAAACAUUAAAAUAGAAAAGAAAAAUUGGAUGAUUUUGAGAAAGGAAUCAGAAGAUUUGUACAACCCACAGGGAGGGAGUUAUUCCUUCUCCCAACUUCCUGCUGUUGGAGUGGAGGCAUGUGACCUUGGCUGGCUGAUUAAACGCUCCAGCCUGGGUUUUGAAUAUGGAAGAACGUGCUGAGGUUGUGAGCUGAAAAGCAAAUGUGAAGACUCUGUGCUUUGCCAAACUGCAGCAUCAAGUCUCAGGGACUGAAGUAGCCGUAGCUCAUGCAGACUAUCAUCAUGGAAUUGCCUUAUAACUAGAAGAGGAAUGGACAUCGCCUCAGAAGCUGAAGAGGAUGCUGGACUGUGAACAGGAUGCAGAGGCUUAUGAACCUUUAUCAUCCUCUCCUUGGGAAGAAAGUUCCAAGUUCUUCGCAGAUUUAAUGCAAGUUAGAUUCUUCAAACUCUAGAGGCAUCAACAUGAAUUGGAAAAGUAUAGACAACCUUCAUAAUGGGAUGACGUCUAUUGAAUCUCAGCACACAGUGUGGGCCCAGCAGUUGAAGACAAGCCAAGCCCCAAGGAGGAGGGCAAGCAAUCCCAGAAGCCACUGGGCAUGGGAGGGGCAAGGUUUUCUCAACAUGGCCUCACAGGGGUUACAGCUAUGAAAGCAGUUCUGGAGGCCGGAAGUCCCAGAUCAAGAUGGUGGCAGGGUUGGUUUCUCCGGUUGCUUCUCUCCUUGGCUUGAAGAUGGCUGCUUUCUUGCUGUGCCUUUCUUUGAUGGACAUUGGAUUGUUCCCAGUGUUUG
rnacentral:lncRNA from 1 species